GGGGUUGUGGCUCAGCAGUAGAGCGCUCCCCUUGGAUGUGGGAGGCUCUGGGUUCAAUCCUCAGCACCA
rnacentral:tRNA from 1 species